rnacentral:rRNA from 1 species
GUGUCAGCCGCCGCGGUAAUACGUAGGAUCCAAGCGUUGUCCGGAUUUACUGGGUGUAAAGGGCGUGUAGGUGGAUUUUUAAGUCGGUGGUGAAAUCCUGCAGCUCAACUGCAGAAUUGCCUCCGAUACUGGAAAUCUUGAGUGCGGCAGAGGGAGACGGAAUUCAUGGUGUAGCGGUGAAAUGUGUAGAUAUCAUGAAGAACACCGGUUGCGAAGGCGGUCUCCUGGUCCGUUACUGACACUGAGGCGCGAAAGCGUGGGGAGCAAACAGGAUUAGAAACCCGGGUAGUCC